AAACCCUCCUCCCGCGCCGGGGCCGGGAAGACGUGCUGUGCCCAGCCCCAGGGGCGAUGCCCUCCAAGGCCGUCUCUUAGGGAGGAUCUUUUGAUUUCUCCAAGGAGAUCAUUGCUGGACUUAAGUGAUUACUUUGGCUGUUUGAAAGAACGCUCAGCCCCGACUGUAGGAGGCAGUGAGGGUCGCAGAUUGCGCCAAGAUUCCAGGCCCCGCCUGUGAGACCCUGGAGCUCAUUUUCCUGAUCAAGCUUACAUUGUGUCCAACGAUUUGGCCAGCGCUAACACUCCACGAUUCUAAAACGCAAGCCUAGGUCUUCUGUCUGUACUUUUCUAGGUAACUUCCCAACAGUGUUGAGGAAUAAGUGACAGGCUUUCUCCCUGGAGGAGAGCCAGCCACCCGGUUCUGCGGUGACGGGUACCUCCGCCGCGGUGUGAGUGCUCGGCCUCCGUCGGGAAGUGGAACACUCACAGGAUGACCGAAUGAAAGUACCACCCCCGAAAGGAGAGCGACGCCCGCUGGAAGCGCUUGCAGAGCUGCCGGCAACGUUGACCGCUAGCAAGCUUGGUCUUCCGCUGGGAGGCUGGUUUGCCCAUUCUGUAAAUGGCCGUGGAGAGGAGGAGGCUAGUGGUGAUAGAAAAUCUUUUCAGCCUCUCAGAGAACAAUGACAUCUUGUAAAAUAAGGCGGUCUCUCUGCUAUUUGUCCUGCCCCCCAUCACCGGAGGGCAUGAGUUUCCUGAGGAUGGAGAUGGGACUCUAUGUUCAGUUUAUAUCCCCCAGCUUUCAGAUAUUAACUGGUUACCAACAUCAAAUGCAUGUUGGAUGAAUGAGUAAAUGAAUGCAUCCA